UCAGGUCCUCCUCCCAGCCCAGCCAUGGGUUGUUGCCUUCCUCCAGCCGCCGCCUGUUCAUCUCUCCCGGCUGAACCAUAGCGCCGUCGCCUCGCCGAUCUCCCUCCCCGCUCAUUCCCUCCUCAAAUUUAAUCGCUUCCUCUCCUCUUCCUCUUGAUUUCCCUCUUGAUUCGGCCUUUACUUAUCGAAUUUAAUCUCCGAUGAACCACUGCCAUUGGUCGAUGCCCCACUGUCUCCAUCGUCAUUCUCCUUGCCCGGCGCCGUUCCUCCUCCCCAAGCUGCUAUAAAAGGACCCCUGGACCCUCCUCAUCCUCCAUGCUUCCUCGGGUCAUGGUCUCUCGCUCCCACGUUGCCUCCUCGUGCCUCCUCUCUCCUCUAUGCCGGCAAGCUCCAGCCACCCCUCCCUGUCGAAUGGAGUAGCGCCGAACCACGCCACCACCUCCCUCGGCAUCGCAGACACCUCUUCUCCAGCCUCAUCUCCAUUUCGCCCAAAGGCCAACGGAAGUGCAUCCUCAUCGGCAACCAGAGGCGCUGCUGCCGUCGUCCUCCUCCAAUCGACCUUCAUCGACAAAUCGAGCGUCGUCAGAACACGCCUCUACCUCCUUCGUCAUUGUAGCCACCUUCUCUCCCUUGGCCACACCUCCAUUUCUCCUGGAGACCGCUAGACACCCGUCCUCUCCGGCGAAUAGUGAGGACACCGCGUUCUCCUAAUCUGGUAGCACCUCUAGCCCCGCUAGAGCAUCGGCUCCUGCACCAUCGUCGGCUUCGGUCUCACCUCGUUGUCAUCAUCCUGGGCCGCAUCUCCUCGCUGCCCCCAAUGACCCCUGGAACACGACCCCGAUGCCGUCGCCUUCCUUCAAACGUCGUUCCCAUCAAGACAAAGUGCUAUCCGUCGUUGUCGUCAGGUCUGCAGCGCCAAGCCCAUCGUCCUCUGCCUCUUCACCAAGCCUAAAGAUCACCGGAGCCGUCCACUCAGUCGACCCGUUCGUCUCCCUCGUCAUCCUACGUUCGCCAUCGUCGAGCCAAGCUCGUCAUCGGUUGCCGCCGCUAUUCCUUCACCGCAUCGUGCCCGUGUUGCCGUUGUUUCGGAAGUUCCCGAAGUGUAGUUCAAAGUCGUGAGAAGACCUUCUCUUCGAGCAAGUCAAGUCAUACCAUAUCCUUUCACAUAUUGAAUCCCAUUAUUGCAAAAACUAUAUUGUUUCACAUCUAUAUGCAUUGCUUUUAUAAAUUAUAUGACACUCACUUUUGUUUAUUUAAUAGUUAAUAUUCCUAUGAUCCUUAUUAUAUAGCCAUGUGGUUGAAUUGCUAGUCAUGCUCAUGUUAACCUUAGUAAAAUGAUAGAACGACUAGCAUGGCUUCCUAUAUGAUAGACUUACUAGGUGCUUUAGGUUGGGCUUAUUUAUGCUUAGAUCCAACAUAGAACCCCUUUUUACAAAUUAGAUUGUGGGUAAUAGCUAAAAUAUAUAAGAAUGAUGAUUAGGUGGUUGGUUGAGUCAGGACAUGAUGGAAUCUCAUUCAAAACUCUCUAAACCUGUUUUUAGUGGGGCAUGAGGUUCAUGAUUUUCUUAGAAGCACCUCGACCACUAUAAGGACCGGUCUUGGGUCCUCUGCUGCAAAACAUAACAGUCCAACCACAAGUCUAAUAGGUAAGGCUUGACUAGAAGUCUAGAACAUGUCAAAACAAAGGCCAUCUGUAUGAUAGGUCUGGGACUAGGGGAGGCCGACUUUGACCUGGCACAUGGGGAGGCCUGUCUCGUCCUGGAGGAUCCGGCAACCUUUACAUUGUCAAGGACCGGCGGGCGAUGAAACCUUAGCGGGUCCCUCUAUUUUGGGUUGAGCUACGUACGUGCAUAGUCUUGUAACAAUCUUGACUUUUCGGGUACCUUUUCGAUAUCGCUAUGCUUGGCUGACAUGAAGUCAAGUGUUGUGUCUUAUGGUUAAAUAUGUGCACCUUUGAUUGGAGUAAAACUAUUCAAAUAGCCGCUCCCUCGGUUAUGGGCAAGCCAAGUAAUGUACCCAAGUUAGUGUUUUUCUUCUAAGUAAUGGAUGGAAUUUAUGGUACUUUCGGCAGGUGGUUAUCCUAGGUUUAAGGCCGCGUGGGUUCACAACCGUGAUAAUAUUGCUUAGAAAUAGGACAGAGUUUAAACUAUACUUUAAAAAUAUUGAAAUAUUGCAACUUUGGCGUUACGCGAAAGUAAACCCUAUUAUGCCAACUCUUUGUUCCCUCUUUGCAUUACAAUUCAUUUCCCGGCAUUGCUUGCUCAAUCUUUUCCCCUCCAGUAAGAGAAGUUGUUUGAAGAAUAAGUCUUAUGUGGAGUCCUGGCUUAUAUCCCAGUUGAGCACUUGUAAAGAUGGAGCUGUAGACCCACUAGUCCGUUGCUAUUUUUCUUUUCUUAUCAGAUCUAAUGUGCCUUUGUAAUAAUGUAUAUAUUAUCGUGAUUAGUAAUAAAGAUGUGUCUUUUGUAUCAA